rnacentral:rRNA from 1 species
GACGAACGCUGGCGGCGUGCCUAAUACAUGCAAGUUGAGCGCUGAAGGUUGGUACUUGUACCAACUGGAUGAGCAGCGAACGGGUGAGUAACGCGUGGGGAAUCUGCCUUUGAGCGGGGGACAACAUUUGGAAACGAAUGCUAAUACCGCAUAAAAACUUUAAACACAAGUUUUAAGUUUGAAAGAUGCAAUUGCAUCACUCAAAGAUGAUCCCGCGUUGUAUUAGCUAGUUGGUGAGGUAAAGGCUCACCAAGGCGUUGAUACAUAGCCGACCUGAGAGGGUGAUCGGCCACAUUGGGACUGAGACACAGCCCAAACUCCUACGGGAGGCAGCAGUAGGGAAUCUUCGGCAAUGGACGAAAGUCUGACCGAGCAACGCCGCGUGAGUGAAGAAGGGUUUCGGAUCGUAAAACUCUGUUGGUAGAGAAGAACGUUGGUGAGAGUGGAAAGCUCAUCAAGUGACGGUAACUACCCAGAAAGGGACGGCUAACUACGUG